ensembl:lncRNA
CCCCUAUGAGCAAGCACUUUGGCGACAGUGGGAAGGAAAAACUCCCUUUUAACAGGAAGAAACCUCCGGCAGAACCAGGCUCAGGGAGGGGCGGCCAUCUGCUGCGACCGGUUUGCACGUCCUCUCCCAUUAAUACGGCAGGUGACCAUGAUGAGAGAGACAGACAGAGUCUGGCUGGCAGUUCUCGCUGCAGUCUACCGGUAGCGUCUUCUUUCAGGCCAGGAUAGACGAACGUCACCGAGCAGUGACUAAGUUUGUGGUCAAAGUCUUGCACCCAUUUGCCACAGCAGAUGCCCCCGAUUUUUGGUAUGUCGUGUAGUGAGCAUCAGCCAAAAUAGGGAAGCAACUUUAGCAACUCCUGAAUGUAAUGCUCAGAGCCGUACCUAUGAGUUUCCCCAAGUGGGCCAGAUGAUUGCGUCCCUGUGCAUUUGGGUUGGGGACUGUGGUUUGCACACAUUUUCCAGGAAUCUGACUAGGAUGCCUCCUAGUUACCUUGUAG